GUUUGUCUGAUCUGUCCCUAUCUGUCUGUCUCUAUCUCUCUAUCUAUUCAUCUCUUCUCACAUCUCACCCAGGGGCCAACAGGUGAUCCUGGCCAACGAGGGCCUCCAGGAGUAAUGGGAGAAAUGGGUGAGCCGGGGCCAAAUGGCGUGACGGGCAGAGCAGGGCUCCAUGGGAAAGAUGGAGCGAAUGGGCAGGACGGUCAGCCUGGGACGCUGGGUGAUCCCGGGCGACAGGGACCCUUCGGGUACAGGGGAGACGGCGGUUCCAAGGGAGAAAAGGGGGAGGAGGGCCUUAUUGGAGAAAAGGGUCGAAGAGGCCGAAUGGGAGAACCAGGCGAGAAGGGCUCCAUUGGUUUACCAGGCCGUCGGAGUUUUGUUGGUCCACGUGUAAGUAUUUCUCUCACCGUAUGCGUACCAAAUAGCGCCCUAUUCCUUUUAUAG
rnacentral:lncRNA from 1 species